rnacentral:rRNA from 1 species
AGUCGAGCGGAGGACAGGAGCGGAAUUUUUCGGAAGGAAGCGCUUGUGGAGGGCUAGGACGGGUGAGUAACGCGUGGGCAACCUGCCCCAAACAGGGGGAUAACAGUUAGAAAUGACUGCUAAGACCGCAUAAGCGCACGGGACCGCAUGGUUUUGUGUGAAAAGCUCCGGUGGUAUGGGAUGGGCUCGCGUCUGAUUAGAUAGUUGGUGAGGUAACGGCUCACCAAGUCGACGAUCAGUAGCCGAGUUGAGAGACUGACCGGCCACAUUGGGACUGAGACACGGCCCAAACUCCUACGGGAGGCAGCAGUAGGGAAUCUUCCACAAUGGGCGAAAGCCUGAUGGAGCAACGCCGCGUGAGUGAAGAAGGUUUUCGGAUCGUAAAGCUCUGUUGUUGGUGAAGAAGGAUAGAGGUAGUAACUGGCCUUUAUUUGACGGUAAUCAACCAGAAAGUCACGGCUAACUACGUGCCAGCAGCCGCGGUAAUACGUAGGUGGCAAGCGUUGUCCGGAUUUAUUGGGCGUAAAGCGAGCGCAGGCGGAAAGAUAAGUCUGAUGUGAAAGCCCUCGGCUCAACCGAGGAAUUGCAUCGGAAACUGUAUUUCUUGAGUGCAGAAGAGGAGAGUGGAACUCCAUGUGUAGCGGUGGAAUGCGUAGAUAUAUGGAAGAACACCAGUGGCGAAGGCGGCUCUCUGGUCUGUAACUGACGCUGAGGCUCGAAAGCAUGGGUAGCGAACAGGAUUAGAUACCCUGGUAGUCCAUGCCGUAAACGAUGAGUGCUAAGUGUUGGGAGGUUUCCGCCUCUCAGUGCUGCAGCUAACGCAUUAAGCACUCCGCCUGGGGAGUACGACCGCAAGGUUGAAACUCAAAGGAAUUGACGGGGGCCCGCACAAGCGGUGGAGCAUGUGGUUUAAUUCGAAGCAACGCGAAGAACCUUACCAGGUCUUGACAUCUAGUGCCAUCCUAGAGAUUAGGAGUUCCCUUCGGGGACGCUAAGACAGGUGGUGCAUGGCUGUCGUCAGCUCGUGUCGUGAGAUGUUGGGUUAAGUCCCGCACGAGCGCAACC